GACGAACGCUGGCGGCGUGCCUAAUACAUGCAAGUCGAACGCAGGGGGGACGGGUGCGUAACAAGUGGGUAAACUCCCAUAAGAGGGGAUAACACUUGGAAACAGGUGCUAACACGAUACUGAUGGAUGGAGCCGGGGUGGAUUAGCUCGGUGGUGAGGUAAAGGCUCACCAAGGCAACGAUGCCUAGCCGACCGGGUAGGUAUAGCGGCAAUACUAGGACUGAGACACGGCCCAGACUCCGACGGUAGGCCGCAGUGGGGAAUCUUCGUCAAUGGACGAAAGUCUUACCGAGCAACGCCGCUUGAGUGAAGAAGGUUUUCGGAUCGUAAAACUCUGUUUUUAGAGAAGCGUUAUCUAACCAGAAAGCCCCGGCUAACUACGUGCCAGCAGCCGCGGUAAUAC
rnacentral:rRNA from 1 species